CAGUAGCCACGGUAAUACGUAGGGUGCGAGCGUUAAUCGGAAUUACUGGGCGUAAAGCGGGCGCAGACGGUUACUUAAGCAGGAUGUGAAAUCCCCGGGCUCAACCUGGGAACUGCGUUCUGAACUGGGUGACUAGAGUGUGUCAGAGGGAGGUAGAAUUCCACGUGUAGCAGUGAAAUGCGUAGAGAUGUGGAGGAAUACCGAUGGCGAAGGCAGCCUCCUGGGAUAACACUGACGUUCAUGCCCGAAAGCGUGGGUAGCAAACAGGAUUAGAGACCCGCGUAGUCCCUGUCUCUUAUAC
rnacentral:rRNA from 1 species